UGGCCGAAGCCGGCGUUCGCGAGCGGGGGCGCGGACGCGGGCGCGCGCUCGCCACUUUCCCGACCGCGUCCGAAGACCGCCGAGGCCUCCCGCAGCUCCGCGGUGACACCCGGGUCAGGGGCGCGGGGCCGGGCGCCGGGGAUUGUGGGAGGCGCGGGGGGGCGCGCCGGCCGCCUUCGGAGCCCCCCAACUCGCGUCCUGCAAAGGCCGCCGGGCCCUGUCGAGAAGACCCGACCGCAGAUGGCGGGGAGGAUGCUCCCGGCGGCGUGGGAACCGGGUCUGACUCCCGAGCCACCGCCGCUUCCGCAGGGGCGCCGGCCCCGGGAAAGUCAAGUCAUAAAUCCCUGAAUCUAAAACUCCAUUCUCAGAGAAAAGGCCUCCAAGGACGGGCGCCGUGCGCGGCAACUGCCUGCAGUUUUGAAGCCCUUUGACUAUUUCAUAACAAAGACAAGGCCGGGCGGCUUGGACGCUUAGGAAAAUCCUGGGGCUUUGCAAAAACAACAGGUUAAUCUAGUCGUGUGGGAUGAUCACCAAAACAAGACAGGAAAGAAGAACACCGUGUCAAUGCUGAAAAGCCAGCCCCUGUGAGCCCCAAAGUGCACGUUUUCCACAGUCCCAAGGAACACGUGACUGUGUGUUUCCACACUUGAGAAAACACAGGGCUUCUACUCCAGGGUUUCCUCGCCAGGGAACCCCAAACACACAGGACCUGGAGAAGCCGGGUAGAGCUGGCUCCUGGCCCUGCGCUUGGGUGGUCGGCUGCCUUAAGAAGAACUGCACCCCAGAGACAGGCUCGCAGCUGCCGACCUUAUCCACUCGCCCUUUCUGCUGGAGCCCAGGCCCAGUGCUCCAGCAAGGAGGCUGAGAAAAUGCUGAAGACUGAUGCCCACGGGGGACAGCUUGGGCUAAGGAUAACGUUUGCAAAACAAACCUUUAAAAACCCAUAGCAACCUGUUUCCUAGAGCACACUCUUCAUCUCUCCACCCCCAAACUAGUCCCGACUCGGAUCCUCCUUUUCCUAUCCUCUUUCUCUUGCUCUCCCGUCUCCUAUUCACUUUUCUUCUCCUUUCCUCUUGAUUAUUAUAAACAAAUGCUUUCCAAGUCUUACCGCCAUCAUAUGUGUACAUAUGCAACCCUUACUGUUACCAAUUUGUUGAAGUCAAGACAGGAGGAGGCAAAGUUUAAAAAUCAGAAGUAUUGCAGGAAAUGAAAAUGGAGUGAGUGUUGCCUGGGUAUCAUAAUUUUUUUUUUUUUUUUAACAGUUCCUCUACUUGGCUCUCCUCCAAAGGUACGCGGCCACAGCAGGCAGGGGCUUGGCAGUGUGGGAGGAGACACCACAGAAGACAGGGAAGAACUACCAGGCCUUGGUUCAUCUCCACACUGGCGAGAGAGGACGUGCAGUUACCUGCUACCUGUUCGACUCAGUCUUUUACGUUGGAGUAACUUAACACAUUGCUGCCCUUAACUUUGACUUACUUGCUUUUAAAGAUGAUGAAGCUGGCCAGGCGCCGUGACUCAUACCUAUAAUCCCAGCAUUUUGGGAGGCCCAGGCAGGUGGAUCACGAGGUCAGCAGUUCAAGACCAGCCUGGCCAACAUGGUGAAACCCUGUCUCUACCAAAAAUACAAAAAUUAGCUGGGCGUGGUGGCGCGUGCCUAUAAUCCCAGCUACUCAGGAGGCUGAGGCAGGAGAAUCACUUGAACCCGGGAGGCAGAGGUUGCAGGGAGCCGAGAUCGCACCACUGCACUCCAGCCUGGGCAAUAGAGCAAGUCUCCAUCUAGGGAACAACAACAACAAAAAGAUUAUGAAGCCUUAGGAAGAACAGGGAUAUUCACCUGCUGCUGAGCCCCCCUCCGCUUUGAUCUUGGAAGUAUCGGCUGCCAGAUAGGGAGCUGAGACUUCAAGAAGCUAAAUAAGGUGUCCAACACCACAGAGCAUGGAGCAAAGGACACGGGACUGCAAAUCUUCCUAACUCGUGUGCUCAUCUGGCUAUCUCACCAGGGCCUUAAAUUUAAUAUAUCCCAAACUGAACUCAUCUUUACCCCUUCCCACUUUGCACUCCUCAAAUGUCCUUGUUUAAAAUAGUUACCUUUAUCUUUCCUAACCCAGAAACUCAAAACCUGGCAUCAUCUUUGACUUCUCUCUUUACCUUCACAUUCAACAGUUUCCAAGACUUAAAGGCUUUAUUUGUAGGAUCUCUACCACUGAUCCUCUACAGUUUCACACCUACAUCCCAUUCUCGUUCCCAAAUCCCCAUAACUCCUCUCCUGGCCCAUCCCUUAACACUGAAAUCCUGGCUUGGAAAAUAUGGUCACAUUCACAGCAGCUGUCCCCAAGAAGGAAGCCAAGGCAACAGUAUGCACAAUGAAAUCACUCUGGGAGAAACUCACUGCCAUGUUGUGACAACACUAUGGAGACGCCCAGGUGAGGGACUGAGGCUUCCUGCCAACAGCCACAUGAAUAAGAUUGGGAACAGAUCCUCCAGCCCCAGUCAAGCCUUCAGAUGACUGCAGUCUCAUGAAAGACCCUGUGCCAAAACCACCCAGCUUGAUGAAAUAAUCUGUACAACAAACCCCCAUGACACAAGUUUACUACAACAAACCUGCACAUGUACCCCUGAACUUAAAAGUUAAAACAAAACCACCACCACCACCACCACCACCCAGAAAAAACACCCAGCUAAGCCACUUCUGAAUUCCUAACCUACAGAAACUAUGAAAUAAUAAAUAUUUGUAUUUUCAAAAUUAGCUGGGUGUGGUGCCAUGUGCUUAUAAUCCCAGCUACUUGAGAGGCUGAGGCAUGAGAAUCACUUGAACCUGAGAGGCAGAGGUUGCAGUGAGCCAAGAUUGUGCCACUGCAAUCCAGCCUGGGCAGCAGAGCGAGACUCUCUCAAAAAAAAGAAAAAAGAAAGAAAGAGAGAAGAAAAAUUAAAAUUAAUGUGUAGAAUAUUUUUUAAAUUAAAGUUAAAUAAAUAAAUAUUUGUACUUUC
rnacentral:lncRNA from 1 species